rnacentral:pre_miRNA from 1 species
GUCCAUGGAUGCUGUUCAGCACCGGGGACAGAUGUGUUUGCCUGUGUGUGGAUGGUGUUCAGCACCAGGAAAAGGUGUGUUUGCCU